GCCAGCGUGGCAUAGUGGUUUGAGUACUGUACUAUGACUCUGGAGACUAGGGUUUGAUUCCCAGCUCAGCCA